rnacentral:rRNA from 1 species
UACGUAGGGUGCGAGCGUUAAUCGGAAUUACUGGGCGUAAAGCGUGCGCAGGCGGUUUUGCAAGCCGGAUGUGAAAUCCCCGGGCUCAACCUGGGAAUGGCAUUCGGGACUGCAAGGCUGGAGUGCGGCAGAGGAGACUGGAAUUCCUGGCGUAGCAGUGAAAUGCGUAGAUAUCAGGAGGAAUACCGAUGGCGAAGGCAGGUCUCUGGGCUGACACUGACGCUCAUGCACGAAAGCGUGGGGAGCGAACAGG